GACAGAGGUGCCAAGCGUUAGGCGGAAUCACUGGGCUUAAAGCGUGUGUAGGCGGAUCGUUAAGUGCCUUGUGAAAUCCCACGGCUUAACCGUGGAACUGCUCGGCAUACUGGCGGUCUUGAGCCAGCUAGGGGCUACCGGAACAAAUGGUGGAGCGGUGAAAUGCGUAGAUAUCGUUUGGAACGCCAAUGGUGAAAACAAGUAGCUGGGGAUGUGCCGACGCUGAGACACGAAAGCCAGGGGAGCGAACGGG
rnacentral:rRNA from 1 species